GACGAACGCUGGCGGCAUGCCUAAUACAUGCAAGUCGAGCGAACAGAUGAAGUGCUUGCACUUCUGACGUUAGCGGCGAACGGGUGAGUAACACGUAAGGAACCUACCUAUAAGCGGGGGAUAACAUUCGGAAACGGGUGCUAAUACAGCAUAAUAUCUUAUUCCGCGUGGAAGAAGAUUGAAAGACGGCUCUGCUGUCACUUAUAGAUGACCUUGCGGUGCAUUAGUUAGUUGGUGGGGUAACGGCCUACCAAGACGAUGAUGCAUAGCCGACCUGAGAGGGUGAUCGGCCACAUUGGAACUGAGACACGGCCCAAACUCCUACGGGAGGCAGCAGUAGGGAAUCUUCCGCAAUGGGCGAAAGCCUGACGGAGCAAUGCCGCGUGAGUGAAGAAGGCCUUCGGGUCGUAAAACUCUGUUAUAAGAGAAGAACAAAUUGUAGAGUAACUGCUACAGUCUUGACGGUAUCUUAUCAGAAAACCACGGCUAACUACGUGCCAGCCGCCGCAGUAA
rnacentral:rRNA from 1 species